rnacentral:rRNA from 1 species
AUGCACGCUGGCGGCGUGCCUAAUCCCUGCCAGUCGAGCGAACGGACGGGAAGCUUGCUUUUCUGAUGUUAGCGGCGGACGGGUGAGUAACACGUGGAUAACCUACCUAUAAGACUGGGAUAACUUCGGGAAACCGGAGCUAAUACCGGAUAAUAUUUUGAACCGCAUGGUUCAAAAGUGAAAGACGGUCUUGCUGUCACUUAUAGAUGGAUCCGCGCUGCAUUAGCUAGUUGGUAAGGUAACGGCUUACCAAGGCAACGAUGCAUAGCCGACCUGAGAGGGUGAUCGGCCACACUGGAACUGAGACACGGUCCAGACUCCUACGGGAGGCAGCAGUAGGGAAUCUUCCGCAAUGGGCGAAAGCCUGACGGAGCAACGCCGCGUGAGUGAUGAAGGUCUUCGGAUCGUAAAACUCUGUUAUUAGGGAAGAACAUAUGUGUAAGUAACUGUGCACAUCUUGACGGUACCUAAUCAGAAAGCCACGGCUAACUACGUG